GUGAAUCAUCAAAUUUUUGAACGCAAAUUGCACUUUUUGGUAUUCCGGAAAGUAUGCCUGUUUGAGGGUCAGUUAAAUAAAAAUCGGUGUUUUUGCUGCUUUUCGUGGUGACGCUUCGUAAUUUAGUUGUCUUACCUUCGGUUAAGUUACUUAAAAUUUUUCAUCAUUUACGAUCUUUUUUAAAUUUCGUACGUACGAUUGAGAUAUCGAAUACUUUAUUAGGUUCGUUCAUCAUCAGGAUUCGCACCUAUAUUUUUUCAUUAAAUGACCUCAACUCAUUUAAGAACACCCUC
rnacentral:misc_RNA from 1 species